AACGAACGCUGGCGGCAGGCUUAACACAUGCAAGUCGAGCGCCCCGCAAGGGGAGCGGCAGACGGGUGAGUAACGCGUGGGAAUCUACCCAUCUCUACGGAAUAACGCAUGGAAACGUGUGCUAAUACCGUAUACGUCCUUCGGGAGAAAGAUUUAUCGGAGAUGGAUGAGCCCGCGUUGGAUUAGCUAGUUGGUGGGGUAAAGGCAUACCAAGGCGACGAUCCAUAGCUGGGCUGAGAGGAUGAUCAGCCACACUGGGACUGAGACACGGCCCAGACUCCUACGGGAGGCAGCAGUGGGGAAUAUUGGACAAUGGGCGCAAGCCUGAUCCAGCCAUGCCGCGUGAGUGAUGAAGGCCCUAGGGUUGUAAAGCUCUUUCACCGGUGAAGAUAAUGACGGUAACCGGAGAAGAAGCCCCGGCUAACUUCGUGCCAGCCGCCGCAGUAAAAC
rnacentral:rRNA from 1 species